UCGUGCCGGGAGCCGAGCGCGGGAACACCCAGGGGCGGUUCGAGGGAAGGCGGCUUCGCCCCGUGCCACCACCAGCCUCCAGUGCCGAUGUCUUCUUGCUGGGAGGGAAUCACGGCCGCAGCAGCAGCGCAAAACCUCCGUGCCGAGACCAGCCACGACAUUGCCACCGUCAUCUGCCGGUACUGAAGAGGUGAAAACCCCUCGGGGCCAAGCGGGUGCCAGCAGAGAUGGACGAGCAGCCGCAGGUUGUGGCCACGAAGCUUUUUGGGGGACCCGCCGAGACCUGCGAGGAGAAAAUCCAGUCUCACCUGCGAUCCCUAAGGAAGGUGUUGGCAGAGUUUCUGGACUGGAGAACGAGCGAAGAGAAGCGACACCGGGACUACCUGGAGACAAGCGAAGCCGAGCGGCGCCGCAUCGGGGCCGAGUUCGAGCGGCUGCACCGGUUCUUGGCGGAGAAGGAGCGCGCGGUGCUGGGGCGGCUGGCGGAGCUCGACGCCGCCUUUGAAGCAGCCCAAGCAGAAAAAUCUUUGCAGGUGGCCGAGGGGAUUACACGGCUCCACGGGCUCAUUGGGCAGCUGGAGGCCAAGCGCACACCCCAGGAUAUCGGGAGCAUCCUAAGCAGCUGGAGCGAAAUGAGGCUUCACCUCCCCUCCGAGCUCCCCGCCGAGCUGGAGAAGAGCCUGAGCUCCUGCCGCCGCCAACGGGACGCUCUCUGGGAGGCCCUGAAGGAAUUCAGAGACACAGGGCAACCCGAAACAAAGCCACGAAGGCGGAAAUGUCCCAGCGCAGAAGAAAAGGCAAAGCCGCCUCGGGAGCCCAGCACAGUUCCUCUCCCGCAGCUUUUGGCGGACAGAAAGAGCGUGCGGUGGGAUGAAGAGCGGGAUGAGGCUGAAGAGCCCCGGCGAGGCCAAGGGCCGGCCGGCAGCAGCGAGCGGGUCACCCCGGGGAGAUGCAGGACACGGACGUGCUAGCCGGAUUCUGCCAGAGGCUGCUUUUCCCUCCGGAUACCUGGGUGCUGCCUGCACCCCCAAAACACGACCUCUGUCCCAGCCGAGCUCCUCUCCCACCUCAGAUCCUGCCGGAGAAGCCGCAAAAGCCUCCGCUCUGCCCCAAACUUGCCUUCACCAAUGCUGCCCCUUCCAUUAGCGACCACUUUUGGGGCACGGCGGACCUGGCAGGGAACACCCCCCCCCCCCCCUCCCCUCCCCUCGCUGGAAGCCCUUUCCCGGCUCCGGUCCCGCGGGGAUGAGCCGCACUUGGGGCGCAUCCACGGGCGCCGCGCCCGCCCCCGGCUUCUUCAAGGACACGAAACCCCUCCCGCCCCGGCGCAGCUCUUCGUCAACCCCCGACAGCAGCAGCCGGCCCUGGGCGCAGCCCUCUCCCGUCGUAUCCUUUACCGCCUCGCCCUCGCCGUAACCCCUUUACUGCCGCUUCUCCGCUCCCUCGGUGCAGCUCUUUCAGCGACCCCCGAGGCAGCGGCCACCCCUUCCGUACAAACCCCUUCAUCGCCGCCUCGCCCGUCCCUCGGCGCAGCUCUUUUAUUGCCGCCUCGCCCUCCCUUUCUCCCCCCCCGCAGCACUUUUAUUCACGCCUCACCCUUCCCCGCUCGGCGCAGUUUUUAAUGCCGCCUCGCCUCGCCCGGCCCUCGGCUGCAGCUCUUUCUGUGACACGAGGCGGCGGCCGCCCCUCGGUUGCAGCUCUUUUAUCGCCGCCUCGCCCCAGGGGUAACGGCUUCUCUCGCUCCCCCGCCCC